GCAGCCCGGCCAAGCCGCUCCCGCCCUGGGCCCGAGCCCUCGCCCCCCGCGACCUGAUGCUGCGCGCAGCCCGGCGGGGGUUUCUAGUCCUCGUUCUUCACGUGCACGGACACUUGACACACGUACUUCUGGAGUGAGAUGCAGCACCUGAGGUAAAGGGAAAAGGGAGAACGAGGAAGUGAAAGAUGCCAUAAGCAAUAACUACAUUUCAAAGUAGGGAGACAAACUAGCACAUGGUUCAACAACAUCUUGAGAGAACAUCUGGCACUGGGUGCAGCUCAACAUGAAGCAACUUUGAUCCAGAGGGUAGAAGUAAAGCGAGGAAGAAGAAAGAAGCAUGCUGUAAACUUAGACUCUGACUCAGACAACAUAUGGAUCUGUGGAACUUAUAACAACACUCUCGAAUUGGGCUUGCCAGCCACAGAUAUUCAUUAGGCAUCUGACCUGUACACCUUACAUGUACUUUUACAUGUACACCAUGAUCCAGAGGAUUUAUGGUUGCCUACUUAAAUGUUCAACAACAACAACAACAACAAGUCUAUUGAUAAUUGCACCAGAUCUUGGCAUUUAACCAGGCCCAGAUGUGGGCUGCUCUGUAUGCUAAUAAAAUGCACUGCAACCCAUGCAGCCUGAGGCUAAGUUUCUGCUACCAACAUCAAAGUGUGCUUCUUGGCCACUUAAGCUUUUGAGGCAACCUCUAUCUUGUCCUUGCCUUGCUGACAUGCACUCAAAUCACUCUCUUCCAGGAAAACUUUUUCAAACCAA